rnacentral:rRNA from 1 species
GACGAACGCUGGCGGCGUGCUUAACACAUGCAAGUCGAACGGAAAGGCCCUGCUUUUGUGGGGUGCUCGAUUGGCGAACGGGUGAGUAACACGUGAGUAACCUGCCCUUGACUUUGGGAUAACUUCUGGAAACUGGGGCUAAUACCGGAUAGGAGCUCCUGCUGCAUGGUGGGGGUUGGAAAGUUUCGGCGGUUGGGGAUGGACUCGCGGCUUAUCAGCUUGUUGGUGGGGUAGUGGCUUACCAAGGGUUUGACGGGUAGCCGGCCUGAGAGGGUGACCGGCCACAUUGGGACUGAGAUAGGGCCCAGACUCCUACGGGAGGCAGCAGUGGGGAAUAUUGCACAAUGGGCGGAAGCCUGAUGCAGAAACGCCGCGUGCGGGAUGACGGCCUUCGGGUUGUAAACCGCUUUCGCCUGUGACGAAGCGUGAGUGACGGUAAUGGGUAAAGAAGCACCGGCUAACUACGUG